rnacentral:lncRNA from 1 species
CUUAGAACUUCACAGAUAAAAGAACUACUUGUAGUGAAACUCCUGUUUGUUCAUUAUGUUUGAGACUGAGUUGUGCUAAAAGUACUCAGAAUCUUCCUCAACUUAGGAAACUUACUUGGACAGCUGUAUUAGGGACUAUUUGUAGCUACCUGCAUUAGAGGGCCAGAAUAUGCUACAAAAGGUCAGCUAGACCAGGACUCUGGGUGCUCCUUCUGUUGUCCCAAUAGCCAGUUAGCCAGGCUGAGUGUGCCUGUGUACCCCAGAAGUCUCCGGGCAGUCGGAAGAGAACCUCCAGGAGCAUACCUGGCAUGUGAGCACAAUCACAACUGCUUCCAGAUGCUGUUUUGCAGUUGGGAAGAACAUGGGGGAAAGUGGAUGGCAUCUGCUUUCUCAAUCAACCUGAGUUGAAGCAAAUCAAAGAGAAAUCUCCUGCUAAAGAGGCAAAAGAGGCUCUAGUGGCAAAUAGGCAGCACCCUUUUUACAGCCUCUUAACCUUCCUCACAGGGGAGGGCAGUGGGGUCCCAGCUCUGAGUGACAGCUCCCCCCAAAUAUGUGGAAACAAGUGAAGAAGAAAUGAUGACCUGCACUGCGUAUGUUAUUGCUGUAUGAUUCCCAGGUGACUUCAGUCAAUAAAGUCACAGACAAAUUAAAC